AUCCAGCUGACGAUUCCCAAACAGAACGAAACGUGCGUCCUAAAU
rnacentral:hammerhead_ribozyme from 1 species